UUGGAGGGCAAGUCUGGUGCCAGCAGCCGCGGUAAUUCCAGCUCCAAUAGCGUAUAUUAAAGUUGUUGCAGUUAAAAAGCUCGUAGUUGAAUUUCGGGGUUCUACCGUUGGUCGGGCUUUGUCUGUACUGGUGUGUAGAAUUUCUACCUUCUGGGGAACCAUCAUGCUAUUAAUUUAGCGUGGUGGGAAACCAGGACCUUUACCUUGAAAAAAUUAGUGUGUUCAAAGCAGGCUUAUGUCUGAAUACAUUAGCGUGGAAUAAUAGAAUAGGACGGUGGUCCUGUUUUGUUGGUUUCUGAAUCACCGUAAUGAUUAAUAGGGAUAGUUGGGGGCAUUAGUAUUCAAUUGUCAGAGGUGAAAUUCUUGGAUUUAUUGAAGACUAACUUCUGUGAAAGCAUUUGCCAAGGAUGUUUUCAUUAAUCAAGAACGAAAGUUAGGGGAUCGAAGACGGUCAGAUACCGUCGUAGUCUUAACCAUAAACUAUGCCGACUAGGGAUCGGACGAUGUUAAUUUUUCUUGACUCGUUCGGCGCCUUACGGGAAAC
rnacentral:rRNA from 1 species